AAUUUAGCUGAAAAAGUUAUGAACAUAAAAGUUGUAGAACUCAUCAAGACAUAAUAACUUUUAUUUUGGUUAUUUCUUUAUUUGACAAAGUGAUGGUAAUAUUUUUCACAAAAUUUACAUCUCUCUUAUAGUUUAUAAAUCCAAAUGAGAGAUAUGUAAAUUUUAUGAACAAUGUUACUAUAACUUUAUCGGAUGAAGAAAUGACCAAAAUAAAAGUUAUAGAUCUUGACGAGUUAUACACCUUUAUUGUUGAUGACUUUUUCAGUUGAAAUC
rnacentral:pre_miRNA from 1 species